GGUUCGAUCCUGGCUCAGAUUGAACGCUGGCGGGAUACUUACACAUGCAAGUCAGACGGCAGCACGGACUUCGGUCUGGUGGCGAGUGGCGAACGGGUGAGUAAUGUAUCGGAACGUGCCCUAGUAGCGGGGGAUAACUACGCGAAAGCGUAGCUAAUACCGCAUACGCCCUUCGGGGGAAAGCGGGGGACCUUCGGGCCUCGCACUAUUAAACGGCCGAUAUCGGAUUAGCUAGUUGGUGGGGUAACGGCUCGCAAGGCGACGAUCCGUAGCUGGUUUGAGAGGACGACCAGCCACACUGGGACUGAGACACGGCCCAGACUCCUACGGGAGGGGU
rnacentral:misc_RNA from 1 species